UUCAUUGCCAGAAGGGGUGGUGUAGCUCCUCUGAUCAGAGCAGACAACAUUCAAAUAUAUGAAACACCAUAUAUAGAUCCACCUGUAACAAGACAACCAUCAACUGAACCAAUCAGCACAAACCUCCAGUCCAAAGCACACACCCCUACUAGCUCGACAGGCAAAUCAACCACUUCCAUAGAAGCUCCAUAUGCAGCUAUAGGCGGUGGAGUUGCAGCAGCAGUAGUGGUAGUAUCUAUCAUUAUCAUCAUUCUCGUUAAUAGA